rnacentral:rRNA from 1 species
UACGAAGGGGGCUAGCGUUGCUCGGAAUCACUGGGCGUAAAGCGCACGUAGGCGGAUUGCUAAGUCAGGGGUGAAAUCCUGGAGCUCAACUCCAGAACUGCCUUUGAUACUGGUGAGCUUGAGUCCGGAAGAGGUGAGUGGAACUGCGAGUGUAGAGGUGAAAUUCGUAGAUAUUCGCAAGAACACCAGUGGCGAAGGCGGCUCACUGGUCCGGUACUGACGCUCAUGCACGAAAAGCGUGGGGGAGCAAACAGG